AUGUAUGGCAUACUGGAAGGUGGAAAUGAGGUUGCUGUGAAGAGGCUUAGUCAGAGUACCGGACAAGGUAUAGUGGAGUUUAAAAAUGAAGUAAUCCUAAUUGCAAAGCUGCAGCACAAGAACCUAGUCAGACUUCUUGGAUCGUGCAUUCAUGAAGAUGAGAAGUUACUGAUCUAUGAAUACUUACCUAACAAAAGCUUGGAUGCUUUUCUAUUUGGUAUAUCCUUCUCUUUUGUUAAAUGCACAUUAGAAAGUUCUUUAAAUGAACCAAAGUGCUAUUCAUUUGACAAGCUUCAUCUCAUAUUAAACAUGAAAGAUGCUUCACGGAAACAUGUGCUUGAUUGGUCGACACAGUUCAAAAUAAUUAAAGGAAUAGCAAGAGGUCUUCUUUAUCUCCAUCAAGAUUCAAGAUUAACAAUAAUUCAUAGAGAUCUCGAAGCAAGCAACUUCUUGUUGGACACAGAAAUGACUCCCAAAAUUUCAGAUUUUGGUAUGUCAAGAAUUUUUGCUACAAACCAAAACCAAGCAAACACUACCCAGGUCGUUGGGACAUAUGGGUACAUGUGGCCUGAAUAUGCGAUGGGAGGUGCUUUUUUUGUAAAAUCAGACACAUAUAGCUUCUGUGUUCUUCUCUUAGAGAUUGUUAGUGGCUUGAAGAUCAAUUCACCUCAGCUCAUAACAAACUUUUCUAGCCUUAUCACUUAUGCAUGGAGAUUGUGGGAAGAUGGAAACGCAAUUGAACUUGUGGACUCUUCCUUUGUUGCAAGUUGCCAACUUCAAGGAGCUCUGUGUUGUAUUCACGUGGGACUCUUGUGUGUUCACGACCAUGCUAGGGAUAGGCCACUUAUGUCACCGAACAGGAAUCCAAAUGCGGGUCAGUACCUUUGCUCAAGCCGGGACUAUGAAGGCAUCUUGUGUCCUGCUCCACAUUUCAUCAAACAAGACCUGGGCAGACCUGCUCCACCAUUUUCCGGACCGCCCUUGGUCGCAUCGGCUGCCACGGCGCCAACACAGGCUGCUGGCCGGUUGCUUCCUCCGAGGCAUGUACAUCUCGACCGACGCACCGCACUGGUGGUGGCCGACGCAGGUUUCCUCAUCCUCAUCCUCUCAAAGAACUAG
rnacentral:rRNA from 1 species